rnacentral:lncRNA from 10 species
CCGAGCUAGCAGCAGCAACCCGGUCAGGUCCCCUUUUGUGCUGUGGAAGCUUUGUUCUUUCUCUGUUUGCAAUAAAUCUUACUGCUGCUCACUCUUUGGGUCUACGCCGCCUUUAUGAGCUAUAACACUCACCGUGAAGGUCUGCAUCUUCACUCCUGAAGCCAGUGAGACUACGAACAAACGCAUUGGGAGGGACGAACAAACGCAUUGGGAGGGACCAACAACUCCGGACAUGAGGAACAAACAACUCCAGAUGCGCUGUCUUUAAGAGCUGUAACACUCACAGCAAAGGUCUGCGCCUCACUUCUUAAGUCAGUGAGACCACAAACCCACCAGAAGGAAGAAACUCCGGACGCAUCUGAACAUCUGAAAGCACAAACUCUGGACACACCAUCUUUAAGAACUGUAACACUCACCGCGAGGGUCCGCAGCUUCAUUCUGGAAGUCAGCAAGACCAAGAACCCAUUAUUCCGGACACAAAGGGGCAGCUGCUGUAGCUGUGUCACCUGACAAGCAACCAGCGCCCCCGCUGCACAAAGCAGCAGCAGCAGCAGUUUCAGCACAGCCCAGAAACGAGUGUGCUUCCGGGGGAGUGGCUUGCAGGGGCAGGAUUCGGACUUAGAUUUGGGGGCCUAAUUUGUUUCCUUGGCCGGGAUCCAGAGGUUAUUCUUCAGGUCCAGCCACUUCAGGUUCUUCAGCUGAGCAAAGCUGACGACAAGGUGACCAGCCUGUUGUUGAGGAGAGCCAGGUGCUGGAGGUUGACCAAACGGCCCAAGUCUGCUGUUCCAGGGAGAAGAUGUCCAUCUAUAAGAAAGUGGUCCCUCAGCAGACACUGAAUCUGCUGGUGUCCUGAUCUUGAAUAUACCAGCCUCCAGAACUGUAACACAUGCAUGGGUGCAAAACAUGCUUCUGUGUCAUCUCACAUAGUGUGGUCAACAGAGAACACCUGGGCAGAAGAUGAGAGGCUCCUGGGGACUGGUCUGAGACAAGGUGCUGUAAAAGAAAACCUAUAUUAAAGUGGUUGGAAGUGCACAGACUGGUUGCUUCACCUGCAGCCAGAAUGCAAGACAGGUGCAAGUCAUCCCUGAGGAAGUAGUGACCAGCUGUGGAUGCUACGCUGAGGCCCUUCUUUAAGAGUGAUCUGAUGGCACUGGAUGUCUGCUGAGGCUUGUGUCUAGAAGGAAUGAAAGGAUGUGCCAACAACAGCAGUUGUCUCCUCGUUUUCAAAGCUCAGGCCUCAUGCAUCAUUUCCAUGGAUAGCUUUCUGAAAGACUGCCUAUCCACUUAGAGGUGAGGAGAAGUAAUAGGGGAGGAAACCCUGCCGAGCUGCAAAAAGUUCUAAAUCCAGUCCUUUAAUUAUCUUGCUUAAAAUUCUUUAUUGGCUCUUUGAUACCCUCAGAAUAAAGCAAACUGCUUAAACAUGACUUACAAAGUAAUUGCUAUAGUUUGAAUAUUGUCCCCCAAAUCACAUGUUGAAAUUGAUUCCUAGUGUCAGAGGCGGGGACUGUGAGAGGUGUUGGGGUCAUGGGGCAUAUCUCUCAUGAAUAGAUUAAUGCUCUGUCAGCAUGGGGUGGGGUUGUGUGAGUUCUCACUCUUAUUAGUUCCCAAAGAGUUGGUUAUUCAAAAAGAGCCUGGCAUCUCCCUCCUUUUUGUCUCUUGCCUCCUCUCUCACGUGUGAUCUCUGUGCAUGUGCCUUUCCGUUGCCUUCCCCAUGAGUGGAAGUGGCCUGAAGCCAAUGCUGGUGCCAUGCUUCCUGUACAGUCUGCAGAACUAUGAGCCAAAUAAACCUAUUUUCUUUAUAAA